CCAAAUCAAAACACCUGCAAACAGCGACCUAAACCCUUCAGUUCUUAUUUAAGGAACCACUUCUGGCUUGUGUGACCGUGACUUUGCCACCAGCUGGAGGGAAAGGAGGCUGGGGUUUCCCAGAUUCCUCCUAACCAACCUGACCUGGAGCACCUCUGGGUUUGAGUUUCAGGAAGAGAAAUUUGGGCUCUGAGCACUGUGCCAUUGUGGGAAUCAAAGGGUCACUCAGGUCAAGGAGAAUUUGGAUGAGAACGCUUUGGGCACGCAGGGCUGGCUGGUGGUUGCUGGGAAGAUGAAAGUCAGCCUGGUUUCUGCUCUCUGCGGUAUUUGGGUCUCACCUUCAUCACCAUCCUGCUGCACAAGUUCGCAGUUUAGGAAUGUUUUGAAAACUGGAGCAGUUAAGAGACGGGGGAAAACGGUUCGAUCGAGUUGAGCAUCGAGCUGCAAGCCCAGGGCAGGAAAAACAACUAAAGCCACUCCCCAGCUAUUCCAAACACCCAGAUAAGCUGCUGUGAUGGAUGCACAUCAUUCCCAGGCGGAGAGCAUCUCAAGCAGUAAUGAAAGCACGGCGGAAAGCGCUGCUCCGUAAGUGCAUGGCAGGGAUGAGAAGAUGAUGUCAUUUGCUUCCCAGUGAGGUUCCCUGAAGGAUGCAGAUGCCUUUCCAUGCCUGGCACGAGGUGUCUGCCUAAACCAUCUCAUUACAUCCUGCUUGGAAUCUGGAGGGGUAUUUGGGGGAGCACGAGGGGAUGGAGAACACCAGGAAAAACAACAUUACAGAGCACAAACACCUUUGCCUGGGAUGUGAUGGGUUAUGACUGAUGUACCCCCGGCUGGGAAACAAGCAAAGCACGACCCGCAAACAGAGAAUUUGAGAUCCGAGAUGAAACCAGCUCCCUGGUGGCUUCCUUUUAUUAAAACAAAUGAUAUUCAUGUUUCAUGAAGUGCACAAUAAAUCUAUCCUGCA